UACGUAGGCAGCGAGCGUUGUUCGGAAUUACUGGGCGUAAAGAGUGUGUAGGCGGUGCUCCCAGUCUGUUGUGAAAUCUCCCGGCUUAACUGGGAGGGUGCAGCGGAAACUAGAGUGCUAGAGGGUGGGAGAGGUAAGCGGAAUUCCUGGUGUAGCGGUGAAAUGCGUAGAUAUCAGGAGGAACACCGAUGGGCGAAGGCAGGUCUCUGGGCCAUUACUGACACUGAGACGCGAAAGCGUGGGGAGCGAACAGG
rnacentral:rRNA from 1 species